rnacentral:rRNA from 1 species
CUGCUCGCACUUUCCAUAUGGAGCUGGGAGCGUUUGCCGGUUGGACGACCUAAGACCGUGAAGUACGAGGAUUGGGACGAUAAAGACGACCCACUACGGCUCCCCACUUGGGCUUACAAGUGGGAUGUGUUAAAUGAGACGACGGAUGAUCCCUCGGUAAUGUACAAGUUGUACAAGAGCGAGCUGGACGCGAUCACGCCUGAGCAGGUGAAUCGACCUUGCAUAAGUGAUUAUCAUGCUUGUAUCUUCACUCGAUAUCAAUUUUGCAUUCAAUCCCAUUAUGCAGGUGGAAUGGGAGCCGUAUGGAAAAGGAGAGAGUUUUGGUAA